GAAUAGUUCAUUAUUGUUGUUUGAACAGUGCACCGAUGUGGGCGAAUUCGCUUGGGGUUGGCACACGGCAAUUUCCAACGAAUGUGCAUAUUAAUUAAGUUAACAAUCUGUCGGAUCGAGCAUUCCCUUUCAUGUCUUAUUUCGUCGUUGUAGCUAGAAUAUGUGUUUCACAUUCUAGGGGCACAUCGAGACACUGGCUGGCGGUGUGGGACGCUUUCGGAAAAAUUGCAAUCAUUACGCAAAUUGCCCCGCUUGAUGAUGAUAGCUUCUCAGCAUUCGACACCCCACCGUACUGCUCCCACUAUACUUGAUUCAAUUAACGCGCUUUCGAUACCCAUUCGUGCCGGUGAGGAUUUAUUUUUUUCACCCGAUUCCCAGAGCAGUGGGAAAAUAUUAAAACAAAAGCACCUGGCGAUCCAGCA